rnacentral:tRNA from 1 species
GGCGGGGUCGCCAAAUGGGAAGGCACCGGUCUCAUAAACCGGAGACUGAGCAGGUUCGAUUCCUGCCCCCGCUACCA